rnacentral:rRNA from 1 species
AGUGAACGCUGGCGGUAGGCCUAACACAUGCAAGUCGAACGGCAGCACAGCAGUAGCAAUACUGUGGGUGGCGAGUGGCGGACGGGUGAGGAAUACAUCGGAAUCUACCUUUUCGUGGGGGAUAACGUAGGGAACUUACGCUAAUACCGCAUACGACCUUAGGGUGAAAGCGGAGGACCUUCGGGCGUUCGCGCGGAUAGAUGAGCCGAUGUCGGAUUAGCUAGUUGGCGGGGUAAAGGGCCCACCAAGGCUACGAUCCGUAGCUGGUCUGAGAGGAUGGAUCA